rnacentral:lncRNA from 1 species
AAUUACUCUGAUAUUUAAUUUCAGGCUGCUAGUAUAUUUGUACAUGUACAUUGUACAUGCAAAUGGAAGGAGUGAUCUUGGAAUGUUCAACUUUACUUGGAAACUAUUGGAAAAGUACUAACAGAAUUUCAUGAGAAGCCAGUAUCAUCUAGUCUUGCAAUUGGGAACUAUGUGUAAAGUGCUGCCACAAUCCACUUCAGGAGCUACGGACGUAAGAUCAACAAUAAUUUGGAACUACAUGUAUAUGCUUUAGUGCUGUCAAAAUCCUUUAAAAAAUCCAAUCAGAAGGACCUUCUUCACCUACAUGUCUGAAUGAUCAAUAUAUAUAUAUAUAUUGAGUCUUAUUAUAUAAAGAAACACUGAAGAAGUAUAAAUAAAAUGAAAAUAUAGAGUUGGUCAGCUAAUGAUUGUACAAUACAUGUACAUGAUUUAUAAAUGGCAACAAUACUUACAUGUAUACUAGUACAUUGAAAUUUAAAACAAUGUUAAUAAAUGUUUUAUAAA